UCAAACAAAAGAGUCAGUCUUAAAAAGAGAAGGUGUGAGAGGAGCAAAUACAGCGUGAAACUUCUUGGGAAUUUGCCUGCAUAAUAAUCAGCUCUGUUGCUGUGGAUGCCCAGGCUGCCAGAGGGUUCUUCGGACGAGCUUCGGCAGGACCUGAUGAGAUGUGCGCGUAUGCAGAUUGUUCCUUGCUCUGGGGAGAGGGUCUGUCAGUCAAAUGUCAAAGUUAAGGCCACUCUCCCGAGUAUCUCCCAGCCAGA